rnacentral:rRNA from 1 species
CGGUGGCCUAACCCUUGUGGGGGGAGCCGUCGAAGGUGGGACGAGCGAUUGGGACUAAGUCGUAACAAGGUAGCCGUACCGGAAGGUGCGGCUGGAUCACCUCCUUUCUAAGGAG